rnacentral:rRNA from 1 species
UGGGGAAUAUUGCACAAUGGGCGAAAGCCUGAUGCAGCGACGCCGCGUGAGGGAUGACGGCCUUCGGGUUGUAAACCUCUUUCAGCAGGGACGAAGCGCAAGUGACGGUACCUGCAGAAGAAGCACCGGCUAACUACGUGCCAGCAGCCGCGGUAAUACGUAGGGUGGAAGCGUUGUCCGGAAUUACUGGGCGUAAAGAGUUCGUAGGCGGUUUGUCGCGUCGUUUGUGAAAACCAGCAGCUCAACUGCUGGCUUGCAGGCGAUACGGGCAGACUUGAGUACUGCAGGGGAGACUGGAAUUCCUGGUGUAGCGGUGAAAUGCGCAGAUAUCAGGAGGAACACCGGUGGCGAAGGCGGGUCUCUGGGCAGUAACUGACGCUGAGGAACGAAAGCGUGGGUAGCGAACAGG